GACGAACGCUGGCGGCGUGCUUAACACAUGCAAGUCGAACGGAAAGGCCCUGCUUUUGUGGGGUGCUCGAGUGGCGAACGGGUGAGUAACACGUGAGUAACCUGCCCUUGACUUUGGGAUAACUUCAGGAAACUGGGGCUAAUACCGGAUAGGAGCUCCUGCUGCAUGGUGGGGGUUGGAAAGUUUCGGCGGUUGGGGAUGGACUCGCGGCUUAUCAGCUUGUUGGUGGGGUAGUGGCUUACCAAGGCUUUGACGGGUAGCCGGCCUGAGAGGGUGACCGGCCACAUUGGGACUGAGAGACGGCCCAGACUCCUACGGGAGGCAGCAGUGGGGAAUAUUGCACAAUGGGCGGAAGCCUGAUGCAGCAACGCCGCGUGCGGGAUGACGGCCUUCGGGUUGUAAACCGCUUUCACCUGUGACGAAGCGUGAGUGACGGUAAUAGGUAAAGAAGCACCGGCUAACUACGUG
rnacentral:rRNA from 1 species